CAGACUUAGACAUCCUGUCUGUAAAAAGGAACGCUUCAUCUCCGGCUCCUUCUUCACUCUUGGUCCAGACCAGAAGUUUCAAAUAGGUUUCUGGUCCCCCGGGGAAUUCUUUUGUUCAGACACCUGGACACAAGAAGAAGGCUGGAGCCCUGGGGAUGUUUCGCAACCGGACCUGCAUCGGAAACCCAAAAUAUUCAAUAAAAAUC